AAAAAUAAUAUACCUGACAAAUAAUUUUGGGGGGUUGAUCCUAGCUAGUGGUAGUUUUUCCACAAAAUUUGAUGCAUGUCUUGUUCAAGGCCUAUCUCUAGCUCCAAAAAAUAAAGUGUGUUUUACUUGGAUUUGGAAACUCAAUGUUGUUCCAAAAGUAAAGAAUUUCUUAUGAAAAAUCUAUAAUGAUGCUCUCCCCUCCAAGGGAGGAUUAUUUCGUAGUCAUGUAGCAGUACAUCUCCAAUGCAAAUUUUGUUCACACUACUACAAAAUGCGUGCUUUCUCGACGCGAUGGGGUCGACGCUGUGGGAAACCGCUUGGAAGGAAAAGCAGUCCGCGUGUUUUGUCGACGGUUUAUAUCGUUGAAACAAUUUGUCUACUUAUAACAGCGUCGACAAUUCCCCAUGUGCUCCACACGUGACCUGAACCGUUCGUGACUAUAACUUUUGGGGGAAAAGGACGCCCCUCGUUUCCACAGCCGCAUUAAACCUUCUCUCUCAUCAGUUCUCAAAUCAUCCCAACCCUUAAAUCAGUUCUCAUUAUUUUUCUUCUAAUUUUCAGGAUCUGAGAGUUAAUUUCUUGCUCGAAUAAUGUCUUGUUAUUGAAGUUCUUGAUUCAAAUCCCGUUAGCAAUCGGUUAUUUUUCAAGUUUCUUCUCUCAUUUGUUUAGUUGUUAUUUGGUAUGGAUAAUUAAAAUUUUGAUUUGUGUAUGUUUUAGGUUUUCUUUCUUUUAUCAUAAUUUUUUGCCAUUGAACUGUGUUUUCGUUUGACAUUGAACUCUCACUUCCUUCGGAUCUAACAUUCGUCACCCCCAUCUCCAGGUCUGUUCAAGGAUUCACAAGUUUGGCCACCAACUUUCUCGCCAAUUACAGGUACCUACAAUUUUUCAUCUGAUUCUACUAUGUCGCUGUUUGAAUUUAUCGAAAGGAGAUGCUUUUUCUCCGACUUCUUCAGAUCGGCAGCAGAUAUGACGAACUUUUCUUUCUAUUCUCGUGUAAUUGUGUUUGGUGUUGUUUUCAGCUGCACAGGUGCUGCUUCUUGCUGUUGCAGGGUGUGGGUUGUGCUCCUGAUGUGUGCAGGCUAUUCUGCAGGGAGUCCAGGUGUUGCAGUCAGGUCUACAGGGAGUGUGGUGUUCGAUUGCUGCUGUGUGCAAUCUUAUGUUGCGUACCCUUUUAUUGCGUUUGUUGUGUUUGGUUGUUAGGGAGUGGUCUGUACUCCUCUAACUUUUUCUGCUGUUUCGUUGUUUAGAUACUUUUGUUCAUACCUUUUGGUAUUAAAUUUGUGUUUUGGAGAUAUAUAGCUAGCUAAUUUAAUAGUUUGGACAUGUGUAAACUUAAUUUGAUGAUAUGAUAUGAGGAUUUGGAGCGA